AGUGGUCCUGCUUGAGAGGGGUUAGGACAUUUGGCCUUGUUGGACUAGGUGUGGCCUUGUUGGAGGAAGUGUGUCACUGGGGGUGGGCUUUGAGGUUACAGAAGCUCAAGCCAGGCCCAUUUUCUCCCUUUUCCUGCUGCCUGUGGAUCCGGGCACAGAACUCUCAGCCCCUGCAGCACUAUGUCUGUCUGCCUGUGUACCUCCAUGCUUCCGGCCAUGCUGAUAAUGAACUAAACCUUGGAAACUCUAAGCAAUUCACAGAUCCUGUUCAGGUCACUGAGUGGCUUUUCACUGGUGAAGGAAGUAGAAAUUUACCACCAAUGAGACAUUACGGGGAGGAGAGAAAAAUCAUCUUGCUCUCUGUGGCAUUUGUGAAAUGCAAAUCCCAGAAAAUUUCUAAAAGAGGCUGUUGAAACACUUCACAUUUCCGCAGUUGCACAGCCAUCUGAUUUUUUUCUUUUCUUUUUUUUUUUUUUUAAGCAAGAUGAAUGAAGAGUGCAUCAAACAGAUGGAGCAAGCAACUGUGAAAAGCCAACUUGAAGCAGCUUUCAGCUCAGUGACUGAGAAACUGCCAUUUCUCUCCAGAGACAUUCUGCAGAGAGAGGAACAAUGGGUAGUCCCUCUGUCUGUUACCACACACGUAGCUCCCUAACCUGGCCAGGGCUGGACAUGGACAGUUGGGAGGCUGACUGAAAACACAGCACCUACAGGGAUCAGUGGGUGUGGCAGGGUUAGAGAGGGGUACACCUCAAUUAUUCCCUUCCCUUCUCCCACGGAGUGUCCUGUAAGCCAAGUACGAACUUAGAUGUAACCUAGCAUGGGAGAAAAGAAAGCUCGCCAUUAUCUUUUUGGAAAUAAAUAAGGAUAACAUUCAGAAGCCAGAGAGCCUUUUCACUUCCCACAAAGGAUUCUGGCUUCCUUUCUCCAGGUGAGAUUACUUCCUGCUGGCAUCAUGAUGGGGCAGAGCAGACCAAUGUGCGGAAAUGAAGAGGAUAGCUGUGGUUCUGGUGUUUGCUAGACAUCCUUUCUGUAGUUAAAAUGAGACAUUUGGUCAGUCUGCACAGAAGCCAUAGGACUUGCAUGCUGAGAACACAAG
rnacentral:lncRNA from 1 species